GGCGAACGGGUGAGUAAUACAUCGGAACAUGUCCUGUAGUGGGGGAUAGCCCGGCGAAAGCCGGAUUAAUACCGCAUACGAUCUACGGAUGAAAGCGGGGGACCUUCGGGCCUCGCGCUAUAGGGUUGGCCGAUGGCUGAUUAGCUAGUUGGUGGGGUAAAGGCCUACCAAGGCGACGAUCAGUAGCUGGUCUGAGAGGACGACCAGCCACACUGGGACUGAGACACGGCCCAGACUCCUACGGGAGGCAGCAGUGGGGAAUUUUGGGACAAUGGGGGAAACCCUGAUCCAGCAAUGCCGCGUGUGUGAAGAAGGCCUUCGGGUUGUAAAGCACUUUUGUCCGGAAAGAAAUCCUUGAUCCUAAUACGAUCGGGGGAUGACGGUACCGGAAGAAUAAGCACCGGCUAACUACGUGCCAGCAGCCGCGG
rnacentral:rRNA from 1 species